GGAGCGGAGGGACAUUACAAGUGACCCCGGUUUACCACCGGGAUGUUCAUAACCCUUUGUUGUCCGACUCUGUUGCCUCCGGGGCGACCCUGCCUUCGGGCGGGGGCUCCGGGUGGACACUUCAAACUCUUGCGUAACUUUGCAGUCUGAGUAAACUUAAUUAAUAAAUUAAAACUUUUAACAACGGAUCUCUUGGUUCUGGCAUCGAUGAAGAACGCAGCGAAAUGCGAUAAGUAAUGUGAAUUGCAGAAUUCAGUGAAUCAUCGAAUCUUUGAACGCACAUUGCGCCCCCUGGUAUUCCGGGGGGCAUGCCUGUUCGAGCGUCAUUUCACCACUCAAGCCUCGCUUGGUAUUGGGCAACGCGGUCCGCCGCGUGCCUCAAAUCGACCGGCUGGGUCUUCUGUCCCCUAAGCGUUGUGGAAACUAUUCGCUAAAGGGUGUUCGGGAGGCUACGCCGUAAAACAACCCCAUUUCUAAGGU
rnacentral:rRNA from 1 species